UACAGAGGGGGCAAGCGUUAUUCGGAAUUAUUGGGCGUAAAGGGCGCGUAGGCGGCCUGGCAAGUGGAAGGUGAAAUCCCUCGGCUUAACCGAGGAACUGCCCUCCAAACUGCUUGGCUUGAGUCCGGGAGAGGUGAGUGGAAUUCCCAGUGUAGCGGUGAAAUGCGUAGAUAUUGGGAGGAACACCAGUGGCGAAGGCGGCUCACUGGAGCGGAACUGACGCUGAGGCGCGAAAGCGUGGGGAGCAAACGGG
rnacentral:rRNA from 1 species